UCUGAUUGCAGCAAUGAGAAUCAGCUGCCGUAAUUGGCUCACACCAGUCACCUGUUUGCAAUUCCACCUCCCAGCAUAUAAGCCAGCUCUGUCAUUCACUCUCUGCUCCACCAUGAGCUCUGAUGGCCUGCAUCAACUCGUGACCACCGGAGCUUCUUGGACACGACUCUGCCCUUGUACCCCUGCCGGUUCCUCUAUGGGUUUCCUACCUACCCCUUCAGCUGAGUUUCUUCCCGUUCCCUUCCUCCCUGAAUCUUCCACCUGCCUUCAGUCUGAUUGCAGCAAUGAGAAUCAGCUGCCGUAAUUGGCUCACACCAGUCACCUGUUUGCAAUUCCACCUCCCAGCAUAUAAGCCAGCUCUGUCAUUCCCUCCCUGCUCCACCAUGGAGUCGCAUAUCCUGCGUCGACUCGUGACCACCAGAGCUUCUUGGACACGACUCUGCCCUUGUACCCCUGCCGGUUCCUGUAUGGGUUUCCUACCUACCCCUUCAGCUGAGUUUCUUCCCGUUCCCUUCCUCCCUGACUGUUCCACCUGCCUGCAGUCUGAUUGCAGCAAUGAGAAUCAGCUGCCGUAAUUGGCUCACACCAGUCACCUGUUUGCAAUUCCACCUCCCAGCAUAUAAGCCAGCUCUGUCAUUCCCUCCCUGCUCCACCAUGGACGUGCACAUCCUGCAUCGACUCGUGACCACCAGAGCUUCUUGGACACGACUCUGCCCUUGUACCCCUGCCGGUUCCUGUUUGGGUUUCCUACCGACCCCUUCAGCUGAGUUUCUUCCCGUUCCCUUCCUCCCUGACUGUUCCACCUGCCUGCAGUCUGAUUGCAGCAAUGAGAAUCAGCUGCCGUAAUUGGCUCACACCAGUCACCUGUUUGCAAUUCCACCUCCCAGCAUAUAAGCCAGCUCUGUCAUUCCCUCCCUGCUCCACCAUGGAGUCGCAUAUCCUGCGUCGACUCGUGACCACCAGAGCUUCUUGGACACGACUCUGCCCUUGUACCCCUGCCGGUUCCUGUAUGGGUUUCCUACCUACCCCUUCAGCUGAGUUUCUUCCCGUUGUAAGUAUCCGGUUUUGAUGGAUUAGUUUAGGUUAUUCAUUUAUGGUUUUCUUAAAUUUCCCCUCUGUUAGUUUAGAGUCUUUGUUGAAUUUUGUAGUCUUGUCUGUUUUCCUAAUCAGAUUUUGCUUGUCUGCUUUCAGCCCUUCCUCCCUGACUGUUCCACCUGCCUGCAGUCUGAUUGCAGCAAUGAGAAUCAGCUGCCGUAAUUGGCUCACACCAGUCACCUGUUUGCAAUUCCACCUCCCAGCAUAUAAGCCAGCUCUGUCAUUCCCUCCCUGCUCCACCAUGGACGUGCACAUCCUGCGUCGACUCGUGACCACCAGAGCUUCUUGGACACGACUCUGCCCUUGUACCCCUGCCGGUUCCUGUUUGGGUUUCCUACCUACCCCUUCAGCUGAGUUUCUUCCCGUUCCCUUCCUCCCUGACUGUUCCACCUGCCUGCAGUCUGAUUGCAGCAAUGAGAAUCAGCUGCCGUAAUUGGCUCACACCAGUCACCUGUUUGCAAUUCCACCUCCCAGCAUAUAAGCCAGCUCUGUCAUUCCCUCCCUGCUCCACCAUGGACGUGCACAUCCUGCGUCGACUCGUGACCACCAGAGCUUCUUGGACACGACUCUGCCCUUGUACCCCUGCCGGUUCCUGUUUGGGUUUCCUACCUACCCCUUCAGCUGAGUUUCUUCCCGUGACCAUCUGCUACAAAGCAUUACCGGGUAACAAAUACACCUGAUGAAGAUCAGAAAUAUUCAAGCAGAAACCUUCAGCUUCCACGAAGGUGGAAAUCAUUCUGCCAUGAAGACCUAACAACCUUCAAAGACAAUCUGAAAAUGGGUGACACAGACCUUCCUGGAGGAUGUUGCACAAGGAGUUUUGUCAAUGUUGCCACAUUCUGGUGUCGACUCCAUUCCACUUGACUCCAUUCCACUCUACUCCAUUUGACUGCAUUGAAGAAUUGAUUCUUUUUUUAUGUUUUGUACAAGUUUGUUGUCAAUAAAAACAAAAACCUUUAUUGAAAAAA
ensembl:lncRNA